rnacentral:rRNA from 1 species
UACGUAGGGGGCAAGCGUUGUCCGGAUUUAUUGGGCGUAAAGAGCGUGUAGGCGGUUUGGUAGGUCCGCUGUGAAAACUCGAGGCUCAACCUCGAGACGCCGGUGGAAACCAUCAGGCUAGAGUCCGGAAGAGGAGAGUGGAAUUCCUGGUGUAGCGGUGAAAUGCGCAGAUAUCAGGAAGAACACCCGUGGCGAAGGCGGCUCUCUGGUACGUGACUGACGCUGAGACGCGAAAGCGUGGGGAGCGAACAGG